AGUGCUGUCACCUGUGCUAUCGCGCUGCCAUCACUAUCAUUGUUUACAUAUAUGUAUAUAUUUUAUUUCAGCUCACCUGCGGCUUGGCUUUCAUAUCACGUCCUUACGACCAGGUGAUUAGGGCCAUCUGCGUUUGGAUUGGAGCCACCACUGGUCGGUCACCUUUCGGAGCCCGCUGUGUUGGCAGAGUGCCCUUCAAUAUUUGAAGAUUCUGGCCAGCGAUGGGUGAUGGGUGGUGUAUUGUGAUGGUAGGCCACCCCGAAUUCAAUGCAAAUUCCGCGUCCGGCUCGGAAUUGUGGGCAUGGCGUUGGUAGGCAACCGUGUAAAUGCAAUUUCCGUUUGGUGCAACCGGAAUUUCGUGCAAAUGCCGUGCCGCCACCACCUGUUUUGAUGGACUGACUGCCUGACAGCCCCAAUGUGCCCCAAAAGGGAGCUCCAUUGCAUUUUCCCGCUGAUAUGCUUGACGUUCUGUUUACUGACCCAGCAGCAGGUCCUCAUUUUGCGCCGACACACAAUGGAGAACAUUUUUUGUUAUUAUCCAUUGCGAGAUAUCUGUUUACAGAUUAAUUAUAAAACAAGAGAGAAUGCCGACUAUCA